GUCUCUAGCCAUAUCAUUUUGGAUGCAUUCAAUCUUAUUCAGUCUCAAAACCUAAGUAUGGUCAGGUCUGAUUUGUACUUGGAUGGGAGACCACUUGGGAAGACUGGGUGCGGUAGGAU
rnacentral:rRNA from 1 species